rnacentral:rRNA from 1 species
AUUGAACGCUGGCGGCAGGCCUAACACAUGCAAGUCGAACGGUAACAGGAAGCAGCUUGCUGCUUCGCUGACGAGUGGCGGACGGGUGAGUAAUGUCUGGGAAGCUGCCUGAUGGAGGGGGAUAACUACUGGAAACGGUAGCUAAUACCGCAUAAUGUCGCAAGACCAAAGAGGGGGACCUUCGGGCCUCUUGCCAUCGGAUGUGCCCAGAUGGGAUUAGCUUGUUGGUGGGGUAACGGCUCACCAAGGCGACGAUCCCUAGCUGGUCUGAGAGGAUGACCAGCCACACUGGAACUGAGACACGGUCCAGACUCCUACGGGAGGCAGCAGUGGGGAAUAUUGCACAAUGGGCGCAAGCCUGACGCAGCCAUGCCGCGUGUAUGAAGAAGGCCUUCGGGUUGUAAAGUACUUUCAGCGGGGAGGAAGGGAGUAAAGUUAAUACCUUUGCUCAUUGACGUUACCCGCAGAAGAAGCACCGGCUAACUCCGUG